CACAUCACUUUUACGUAGUGAGGGUCCCCGGUUCAGACCCGGGUGGAACCA
rnacentral:tRNA from 1 species